rnacentral:rRNA from 1 species
UGGCGAACGGGUGAGUAACACGUGGGUGAUCUGCCCUGCACUCUGGGAUAAGCCUGGGAAACUGGGUCUAAUACCGGAUAGGACCAUGCUUUAGUGUGUGUGGUGGAAGGUUUUUUCGGUGUAGGAUGAGCCCGCGGCCUAUCAGCUUGUUGGUGGGGUAAUGGCCUACCAAGGCGGCGACGGGUAGCCGGACUGAGAGGUUGGUCGGCCACAUUGGGACUGAGAUACGGCCCAG